rnacentral:lncRNA from 10 species
GGAAGCAAUCGGAUAGGCAUUUGCUUCAGGUGAGCAGAGGGAUGACUUUCUGUCCCACAUCUGUGAAGAUCAGCUGUUGGUUUACAUUGCCAGGGUGAAAUUCAACAGAACUAAUUUAGGGUGAAGAUCUUGAGGCCCACAAGGAAUUUCCUUGUGGGAAAAUUGUGAGGAAGAGCAAUCACUGCACCCAGCCACCUCUAUAUACAUGUACACAAAGCCACACAGUUUACACAGUCACAGGUAUUUAAGUACACACUAUUCACACACAAAUACAUAUAUAGACACACAUGUACAGUCCGUCCAAAAUAUAUGUACAUAAAAGCACACUAUUACACCUUCAUAUGUGCACACACACACACACCCAGACUCACUUCAUACACACAUAGAUACAACAGCCACAGCUCCCCAUCACCUACACACACACACACACACCUGGACACCCAGCUCUAAUAUAAUCAGAUAGAGAUAUGCAUGCAGACAAAUUUGCCUGUAUAGUCAAACACAUAGGCAAAUAGAGAACGAGACACCACAUGAACAAAGGCAAACCUACACACAAAGACACAGAGCACACUUACGCAUAUAUCUAUAGACCCACCAUGGCACAUAUGGGUAAGUGCACACAGGCAAACUCACACACACGAGCAUGCACAGGCAGAGAACACAAAUGUACACUCCCAGGUGUCAUAAAGAACAGCCCAGCUUCGGCUUGGGAACGUCACAUCAGACAAUAGGAACGGCUGCACCGCGCGUUUCCUCGGCUGCCAGCUUCCCAGCCACAGAGGAUGCCUCACCUGCUAUGUCAGCUCCCCUCUGCCCCACCUCACAAGAAGCUCAGAAGCUGAGGAGUCACAGAGAGACCUCCCUACUGUGUCAGAGGAAUAGGUCCUUCUGUCACGGGGCACAGGACCCUUGACCGCAAAAUGACGUGAGUUACCACUGACUAUUUUCUGGGUCUUGAUCUUGUGACUCCAAAUGGAUGGUCUCCAGGACACAUGUGCAUGAGUUCCUCUAGGAAACCACGGUGUACAACUGCUGGGUUGCAGGCCCAGGGUUCUUUCCACUUCUCUAUCCUCCCAAGUAGGGUCCAGCUGGCCUUAGUGCUGCCAUGCUGAGAGCUCUGGGAGGGGCAACCCAGGGCAGACAGGCCCAGGCCAGCCACCCUGCCCCAGGCAUUUCCCAGGACUCAUCAGGCACCCAGCGGCCCCUCAGCAGUGAGCAAUACCAGAAAUCUGCCAGCUGGCUACUAACUGGGUCACAAGAGAGUACUGCUGUCUCACUCAGGGUGCGUUCCAUUUCCUUCAGCACUUGCGCCAAGUAAGGCUGUGUUCACAGGCCACAAGACCCAAGGGAGAUGGAAAUCAGCUCACAGAUGCUGAGCUGACUGCACACCAGGCAGUGUGCAAAGCACCUUACACAUAUAACUCACUUAAUCCUCAUCCCUGACUGCACGAGGUGGGCACUAUUAUUAACCCCACUUUACAGAUAAGAAACUGAGGCGCAGGAAGUUGAAAAUUUUGCCCAGACCAACACGUACAACUUCAAAUCCAGACAGCCUGGCCGCUCUGCUCCUACUACUCUGCUACCCCAUCUCUCAAGAGGGGAAAAGGACUAGCUCCUUGCCCAAUCCUGAGGUUGUCAGCAUUCUUUUACUGGCAAGGAAAACAAAUGGAACUUCAAUGAAUAUAUGUAGAAAGAAAGACUUAUUAGCUGACAAAAAUCAAUAGAGAAAAGACAGGUUAGAAGCAGAUCUCAGGGCCCACUGGGUCCAGGGAGGCGAAAGCGCCCCUCCUUCUCCGUCUUCCUCCUCCACGUCUCUCUUUGUGCUGUUUUCAUUCUUUCCUAUUGCAAAAGGGCCUCCUCCCCUGGGCAGGUAGGUGGCUGCCUGCAACUCUCACCUCACCUUCUCACAGAUCUGCCUAUUUCUAUUUUAAAAUACAAACAAACCAAAAGCCAGAGAAGGUUCCUGACAGGCCCAGGAAAGGAUGUGAUUAGCUUAGUCUGGGCCACCUGCCCAUUUUUUAUGGACUAAAUGUUUGUGUGUCUCCAAAUUGGUAUGUGGAAGCCCUACCCCCAGUGUGACAGUAUUAGGAAGUGGGGCCUCUGAAAGGUCAUUAGGUUUCAAUGAGGUCAUGAGGGUGGGGGGAUCCAUGAUGGAAUUAGUGCCGUUAUAAGAAAAGGAAGAGACACCAGAGUUUUCUCUCCACCAUGUGAGGUUACAGCAAGAAGGCAGCUGUCUGCAAGCCUGAAGAGAGCCCUUACCAGGAGCCAAAUCUGCCAGCACCCUGAUCUUGGACUUCCAGAACUGUGAGAAAUAAAUUCCUGUUCCUGAAGCCACUCAGUCCGUGGGAUUCUAUUAGCAGUCGGGACUGACUUGGACACUGUUCCUGGAGCAACGCUAGUGGCCUGGGGAAGCUGGGCCCUGGGACUGGUGCAGGGAGGGCCACAGUCCCAGCCUAUAGCAGCUGAAGCUGCAUUUGUCCCCAGGAAGAGGACAUCACAGACACAACCCCAGAGGCAGUGGGAGGGGGCAUGAUUGAUUGGGAGCAAGGCAACAGUCUAACAGGGCCCAUCUGUGCCCAGGAGUGGGAGAAGCUCCUGGCCAUGAAGAGAGCCCUCACCAGAGGCCAAACCUACUAGGACCUUGAUCUUGGACUUCCAGCCUCCUCCCUGGAAACACGUGACAGCACAUAUGGGUGGUCUCCCUUCUUGAGCGAGGCCUGAGUCUUCACCCAGGAUCCAACUAGACUGAAAAGAACUGUCUCCCUAACAGCACUCCAUCAGCAUUCAGAGAAAAGAGAUUUCCACCUGGUGUUUUUAACCAACACAACCUCCUUCUACACCCUAACCCAUAGAGGGCCCUGGGACCAGUAUAAGAAGUGUGGGUGUUAAGCUGGGACUGCUAGAAGGAGCAGCAGCCCCAUGGGAGCAGGGCAGGAGGGUCCCCUCUUGACCUGCUGACUGCAAACACUGCAGCCGGAGAGACACUCACUCAGGCCACGGUGGGGAGGCCCAGGGGAGGCACGUGUCCUCAUUCUGCUAAGGCGAUAGGGCUCGGGCACAGGACAGGCGAUUUGA